UGCAGAGGUCUCAAGCGUUGUUCGGAUUCAUUGGGCGUAAAGGGUGCGUAGGCGGCGCGGUAAGUCGGGUGUGAAAUCUUGGAGCUUAACUCCGAAACUGCAUUCGAUACUGCCGUGCUUGAGGACUGGAGAGGAGACUGGAAUUUACGGUGUAGCGGUGAAAUGCGUAGAUAUCGUAAGGAAGACCAGUGGCGAAGGCGGGUCUCUGGACAGUUCCUGACGCUGAGGCACGAAGGCCAGGGGGAGCAAACGGG
rnacentral:rRNA from 1 species